rnacentral:rRNA from 1 species
AGUGGCGGACGGGUGAGUAACACGUAAGAAUUUGCCUUUAGGAGAGGGAUAACAACUGGAAACGGUUGCUAAUACCUCAUAUGCUUUCGAGUGAAAUGGUUUUUCCGCCUAAAGAGAAGCUUGCGGCUGAUUAGCUUGUUGGUGAGGUAAUAGCUCACCAAGGCGACGAUCAGUAUCUGGUUUGAGAGGACGAUCAGACACACUGGAACUGAGACACGGUCCAGACUCCUACGGGAGGCAGCAGUAGGGAAUUUUCCGCAAUGGGCGAAAGCCUGACGGAGCAAUACCGCGUGAGGGAUGACGGCCUAUGGGUUGUAAACCUCUUUUUUCAGGGAGGAAUAAAUGACGUGUACCUGAAGAAUAAGCAUCGGCUAACUCCGUGCCAGCAGCCGCGGUAAGACGGAGGAUGCAAGUGUUAUCCGGAAUCACUGGGCGUAAAGCGUCUGUAGGUGGUCAAAUAAGUCAACUGUUAAAUCUUGAGGCUCAACCUCAAAACCGCAGUCGAAACUAUUAGACUAGAGUAUAGUAGGGGUAAAGGGAAUUUCCAGUGGAGCGGUGAAAUGCGUAGAUAUUGGAAGGAACACCGAUGGCGAAGGCACUUUACUGGGCUAUUACUAACACUCAGAGACGAAAGCUAGGGUAGCAAAUGGGAUUAGAUACCCCAGUAGUCCUAGCUGUAAACCAUGGAUACUAGA